AGAAAAACGCCUGAAUCACUGUUCAUAAGCACAGUGAAUUUCCGAUUUUGCCCUCGCUUAUUUGUCUGUAAUUUCAAUAUUAGUCUAAUUUAAAUCUGAUUGAAUCUGGACCGUUCAUUGUUUUUGGGCAGUGUGAUAAGAAAUCAGUCCAUCCAUAUUUUGUAAUCUUAUUCUCUCUGCUGAUCAUCAUUCUUCCUCUCGCUCUCUCAACAUCCCGAAAACCCCCAACCCCACCCACGAACCCAGGUACACCCAAAACAAUCACCAUUCUCAUCCCUUCGACCUCACGAACUCAAGUCUGAGCCCAUUCUUACUUUCUAGGUCAAGAUUUCGUGGCUUUCAUGUACGAUUUGGUGAAGGUUUGAAAAAGAUUGAAGCUCAAUCCGUUACCUAGAUUCCGGCGAGGUUUUCCGGCGAAUCCGCUAGCUUCCCUGUAUUUUUUGAGGCCCUCACAGUCAUCCAAUCACCAAAUCUUAGGAGUUUACAUCUGAAUCCGACCGCCUCUUCUUUCCCCCUUCACUUUCACGGUUCCACCCCAACAUCAUCGAUCUGUGUUCGUGUAGGUCAUUUCAAAGGGAUUUCAAGCUGGGUAGCAGAGAUUUGAUUCAAAUUUGUGGAUUUGGGAUGGUAACAACCCCCCGGCGGCUAAUCGCUGGACAUCACACGCCGACUUACCACCAGUGCAUCCGCGUCGUUUCGGAUAACUGUAUUUACGGAAGGGCGUUUGCCUCUAGAAGUGACUAAGCAGAGGGUCACGUAGCAGAACUUGGAUUUCAUAGAUCACAGAGAGCAGGGUGAUAGCAUCGCGCCGGCCUCACUUGCUAGUGGAAAACUAAUUUUGGAUUUGGAAUCCUUUUUCCCAACUGUGGGUUAAUGCUUUCACAAAGGUCUUUCCUAUGCGGUGGAUCUACUUGCCUCUUCAUCUAUGGCUACUGCUUGUAUUAUUAUUACGCCCGAUCAGAUAUGUCUGGCGUUAUGCAAACGUCGUUCUUUCGGUUACAUGGCUUGCAUUUGCUCCGGCUUCUUCCUCAUGCUUGGCACAGUAGGUUUUCGCGCGGCUUUGCUGUUUGUUCGUCACAUUUACAAGUCCAUCAAGUGUGUGUGAGUAGGUGGUCGGUUGAUUGUUAUGGUAAGUAGGUCCUCGUUUCUUCCUUUUUUUAUCAUAGGAAAAAGUCGUCAUUUUUGUUAGAAGGUAGGCGAAGGGUGCCGUCAGAAGCAGAGGAAGCAGCGAGCUUUCCUGAAUCAAGUCUUUCGGGCCCUCUGUUGCGCGUUUGCUUCAGGCGGUCGGAUUAUUUGGGGGAUUUUAGGGUUUGCCUCAAAUAUUCUACACUAAAUGUAUGUAAUAGAAUAGAAGCGUUAAUGUGGGGGAACAAAAGAGCUUGUUGUGUAGCCACAUUUUACCCACUCUCUGAAA